UGGGGAAUAUUGGGCAAUGGAGGGAACUCUGACCCAGCAACGCCGCGUGAAGGAUGAAGGUUUUCGGAUUGUAAACUUCUGUCGCGAGGGAUGAAGAAUGACGGUACCUCGUAAGAAAGCCCCGGCAAACUACGUGCCAGCAGCCGCGGUAAUACGUAGGGGGCGAGCGUUGUCCGGAAUGACUGGGCGUAAAGGGAGUGUAGGCGGCCUUUUAAGUUAUGUGUGAAAGCCCACGGCUCAACUGUGGAAUUGCACAUAAAACUGGGAGGCUGGAGUGCAGGAGAGGUAAGCGGAAUUUCCAGUGUAGCGGUGGAAUGCGUAGAUAUUGGGAAGAACACCGGAGGCGAAGGCGGCUUACUGGACUGUAACUGACGCUGAGGCUCGAAAGCGUGGGGAGCAAACAGG
rnacentral:rRNA from 1 species